rnacentral:rRNA from 1 species
CGUGUAGGCGGUCCGCUAAGUCUGAUGUGAAAGCCCGGGGCUCACCCCCGGAAGGGCAUUGGAAACUGGCGGACUCGAGUCCCGGAGAGGAGGGUGGAAUUCCUGGUGUAGCGGUGAAAUGCGUAGAUAUCAGGAGGAACACCGGUGGCGAAGGUGGCCCUCUGGACGGUGACUGACGCUGAGACGCGAAAGCGUGGGGAGCAAACA